AAUCCAAAGGCAAAUUCUUAGUUCUCAUUUUAGGCAGUACUUGACAUCUUGACCACUUCCACAUUUUGAAACACUGUCUUCUCUAAGCUUCCAGAACACCUCACUCACUGGUUUCCUCUUACUUAACUGGCAUCUCUUCAGUCUACUUUGCUUUAUCUUCUUCCUCUGACUUCUAAAUAUUAGAGAUGCUCACAUCUUAGUCCCAUGUUUUUUUCUAUCUCUAUUCUCCCUAAAUGGUUUCAUCCAAUCCCAUGGCUGUAAAUAUUAUCUUUGUUUUGAUAAGUCCCAAGAUUAUAAUUCUAACCCUAACUUUUUGAACACUAGACUGAAUAUUCUUUCUGCAUUCUUAUGGAAAACUUAAGGUACAUAAAAAUAAUAUAUUGAACCUCAAUAAGUUUUUCACUCAAGCAUCAACAGUUACUAAAUUAAUAAUAGAUUAAUUAUUCUUAAUAUGGUAGGUGAUUAUUUUUCAUUUUUGAAGUUGACAUAUUCAUAGACCUUUAUUCCAUAUAUUUUGUGUUUUGCUCAAUUAUUUAACUUUUUAUUGGGACUGAUUGUGGAGGUUAUUUUGGGAAGCUUUUGUAUCUUUAUUCAUUAUUGUACGAGUCUGCAUCAAAUCAGUUGCAGGAAAUAGAUCUGGCUCUUUUAAAUAUAUGGAGAUUUAAUGUAGGGAAUUGGUAUUUAGAAAAUUGUUUAAAGUGGUGGAGGAGUAGGCUUUAGCCUAGACUUUCAGAAAUGAGUCCCAGGAUAAUACUACUAAGUUGGGCUGUUAAGGGAACUACUACCACUGUCCCCAUCCAUCAGGAUGAUGGAGAAUCAAAACCACAACUGGGGAGUUGCUGUCAUGGCUCAGUGAUUAACGAAUCUGACUAGGAACCAUGAGGUUGCGAGUUCAAUCCCUGGCCUCGCUUAGUGGGUUAAGGAUCCAGCAUUGCGGUGAACUGUGGUAUAGGUCGCAGAUGUGGCUCGGAUCUGGCAUUGCUGUGGCUGUGGUAUAGGCCGAUGGCUAUAGCUCUGAUUAGACCCCAAACCUGGGAAUCUCCAUAUGCCUUGGGUGUGACCCUCAAAAGACAAAAAGACCAAAAAAAAAAAAAAAAAAAAAAGAAGAAAGAAAAAAGAGACCUAAAAACAUAUAUUAAAAAAAGGUAGGAGUUCCCGUCGUGGCGCAGGGGUUAACGAAUCCGGCUAGGAACCAUGAGGUUUCGGGUUUGGUCCCUGCCCUUGCUCAGUGGGUUAACGAUCCGGCGUUGCCCUGAGCUGUGGUGUAGGUUGCAGAUGCGGCUUGGAUCCCGCGUUGCUGUGGCUCUGGCAUAGGACGGUGGCUGCAGCUCCGAUUCGACCCCUAGCCUGGGAACCUCCAUAUGCCGUGGGAAUGGCCCAAAAAAAUAGCAAAAAGACAAAAAAAGAAAAAAAAAAAA
rnacentral:lncRNA from 1 species